UGCAGUCUGGUCUGUGAUGUAUGUCUGUGGCUGAUGGAAACAUGAGGUAUCCCACACAAUCGUCACUACCACUGAGACCAUAACA
ensembl:snoRNA